GUGUUAUAAGAAUGAAGAGAAGGUUAGCACUCCCAUUGAUAAGGAUGGAAGAGGUCCUAGUGGCCUGUACAACACAGAUAGGAUUAAGGCCUUGCCACUUUUGCCACGGCAGCUAACCAUGUUUUAAG
rnacentral:ncRNA from 1 species